rnacentral:rRNA from 1 species
UACGUAGGGUGCGAGCGUUGUCCGGAAUUAUUGGGCGUAAAGAGCUCGUAGGCGGUUUGUCGCGUCGACUGUGAAAACCUACAGCUUAACUGUGGGCUUGCAGUCGAUACGGGCAGACUUGAGUUCGGUAGGGGGAGACUUGGAAUUCCUGGUGUAGCGGUGAAAUGCGCAGAUAUCAGGAGGAACACCAGUGGCGAAGGCGGUGGUCUGGGCCGGAACUGACGCUGAGGAGCGAAAGCGUGGGUAGCAAACAGG